rnacentral:rRNA from 1 species
CUAACAAGGAUUCCCCUAGUAACUGCGAGUGAAGCGGGAAAAGCUCAAAUUUGAAAUCUGGCAGUCUAUUUUUUCUUCUUUGGCUGUCCGAGUUGUAAUCUAGAGAAGUGCUUACCUGCACUGGACCAUGUAUAAGUCUCCUGGAAUGGAGCGUCGCAGAGGGUGAGAAUCCCGUCUUUGACAUGGACUGCCAGUGUGUUGUGGUGUGCUCUCAAAGAGUCGAGUUGUUUGGGAAUGCAGCUCUAAAUGGGUGGUAAACUCCAUCUAAAGCUAAAUAUUGGCGAGAGACCGAUAGCGAACAAGUACCGUGAGGGAAAGAUGAAAAGGACUUUGGAAAGAGAGUUAAACAGUAUGUGAAAUUGUUGAAAGGGAAACGCUUGAAGUCAGUUAUGUUGGCUAGGGAUCAACCUAGCUGUCUUUUGCUGGGUGAAUUUCCUAGUCUGACAGGCCAACAUCAGUCUUGACCGCUGGAAAAGAGCAGAGGGAAUGUGGCACCUUCGGGUGUGUUAUAGCCCUUUGUCAUAUGUGGCGGUUGGGACUGAGGGAUGCAGCGUGCCGCGAGGCUGGGUUUCGACCACGUUCACGCUUAGGAUGUUGGCUUUUAAUGGCUUCAAUCGACCCGUCUUGAAACACGGACCAAGGAGUCUAACAUGCCUGCAAGUGUUUGGGUGGAAAACCCUUGCGCACAAUGAAAGUGAAAGUUGAGAUCCCUGUCAUGGGGAGCAUCGACGCCCGGACUUGAGCUUUUAGCGACGGAUCCGCGGUAGAGCAUGCAUGUUGGGACCCGAAAGAUGGUGAACUAUGCCUGAAUAGGGCAAAGCCAGAGGAAACUCUGGUGGAGGCUCGUAGCGAUUCUGACGUGCAAAUCGAUCGUCAAAUUUGGGUAUAGGGGCGAAAGACUAAUCG